CCAGGCGUCGCUUUUUCACCCGCACAUCUACGAGACUAGCCAACGAGAGGAGGUCGCAUAGGACUCUCGAGCGCGAAUGAAGAGAGGGAAGGAGGGGAGGAGACCUUUCGGGCUAUCUGAUAAAGCGGAAUAUUCUGGUGCACGAGAUCGACGGGACGCGGAUCAAUAAUGUGUGCUCUACGAAUCCGCUGCUGCGCAUCAUACUGAUUUCGCCCGAAAAGUCGAAAUACAGAAACAAGAGGCGAAUUCACUCGCCGUUAAUGCAGAAAAUUCUCAAAGAAGAUACAUCGUAAGGAGAAGGAUCGCGAAGGGUUUAAAUGGCAAACAACGUCAGAAGUCGGCAGAAGGGGAAACGGAGAUAAUGACCAGGCGACGCUCCAGGACUCCAGGGGCCUUAGAGGCGGCAGCGGCGGCAACGUCCGCGAUUGACGACAAACCAUUGGUGCGUCACACCGAAUCGCCCAUUAAAGGCGCAGCGCAUCUCUCCGCAUGCAUCCCUUUCUCAUACACGGCGGCAAUAUUGGGUUUACGUCCACUCAAAGAUCCUCUUACGACGAUGCGUGCGCAACGUAUCCAAUUAGCGGGAACCGCGUAAGAGAGCGACUUCUCCCUUUCUCUCCAUCUCGCCUCCAUCGUCUACUCUUUUCCGCCUUCUCUACUUCCCGCGCUCCCACCGUACACUAGGGUCAAACGCUCGUAAACGUCCGGUGAAACGCUCGAGACUCGACCGGACUCGGCUCGACUCGACUCGUCUUGACUCGAAGUCGACUCGACUCUCGACCCCGGAGAGAGUCCGGUCGGAGCAGCGCCUAGGCACUCCGACAUCUAUGAAAAAUGUAUUAUGAAUUUCCCGGCGGCCAAUCGGAGGAAGCGCGGACAAUUUUGUUCAGUGACCUCGGAUUGGCAACUUUAAACGCGCCCUCUUCUCCAUCUCUACAUUCCCUCUCUUCUGUUCUUCUUUACCUUUACAAACUCCCUUCUGUUUUCUUUCGUGGCCAGCUUUCUUUCUUUCUUUUUUUUUUUCUCUUCUAUCUCUCUCUUCUUCUCCCUCACGCGUGCCUGGCCAAGCCUACAGGCCACAGGUGUAGUAAACCUCUUUACCUCGCGCGUAAUGGCCACUCUUACACUCGUGCCGCGCAUCUGUCGACUUUAUUGUUAGUGUGUAUUGCCACGACUCGCGUUUACUUCUUUUUUCUUAUCGUCGGCCUCUUUGCCCUCUGAUAAUUUUCUAUCUAGCACACACGACCUGCAUACUAGAAUCGACGCGCUAUGUAUAUUGUUUAUGACUUAAAGAAUUUUUGUUGUUCAUUCUUUCGUUGUAAAGAGUUAUGCCGUAUAACAUUACUCCGUCGUCAAAAUGAUCUAUAUAGCUUGUCAAUAGAUACGAUACCUUGAUCAUCUUCUCGAAUAUAAACAACAAUUGGUAAACAUCGGGACGUCUCUCAGAUCAGAGCUGACGGUUUUCUAACGCUUCCACGACGAUCAUCAAUCAAUGUUACUAUAUUUUUCAACAACCGUGACAUCAUUCGGCCAUUAUAAGAAGUGAGAACGAAUAAAAAUCUGUUCGGAAUUUUGCGAGGUUGAAUAUUAAUUCAAUCCAGUACGAAAACCGAAAUAAAAAUAUCUCUGACGACAUGUAAUAUUCAAGAUUACUCGUAUACAUUACAUUCUAUCAAAUCAUCGCCUUUACAAAUAGAUCUAAAAUAGUGAAGACAUUAUUAUCAUUGGAAAUUAAAAGAUCUCACGCGCUUGCAAAUAUUUUAAUAUCGAUAAAGAUCUGAUUAUUAAUCAUAAAUUCAGCAAAUUAUUUCGAUAAAUGUGAAGAGGAAGCGAUUAAAAGAAGUUUUCAAAGAAAUCAUACCAGAAACAAUCGCAAUUGUUGGACGCAGUUGAUGACAUUGCCGGAAAUCAAGACAAGCGACGCAGCUGAUUGCUCGUCGCAUUCGAUCAAGAUUGUCUUCAGCAUCCGCGCAUUAAUCAGCGUCGUGAACUACAACUACGUCCAGAGAGAAGGGGAGGAGAGGGGGGGGGGAAGGGAAGGGAAGGAAAAGGAAGGACGGGAACGAUGUGACACGACCGUGGCGCGAGUUCAUGAGCGCGACGCAGAAAAAUUCGAGAGAAGAUCCUAUUCUUAGCUCGCGAAUAUCCACCACCAUUCACGAGCGAGGGCCUUCGCGCCGUC